rnacentral:rRNA from 1 species
GGAAGGAUCAUUACCGAAUUGUCAACAUGGGUUGUUGCUGGCCCCCGAACGGGGCAUGUGCACGCUCUGUUUACACAUCCACUCACACCUGUGCACCCUCUGUAGUUCUGUGGACCGGGAGACGUCGUCUUCCUUCCGUAGCUCUACGUCUUUACACACACACCGUAGCGAUGUCUCAUGGAAUGUUUUUUCGCGUUUAACGCAAUACAAUACAACUUUCAGCAACGGAUCUCUUGGCUCUCGCAUCGAUGAAGAACGCAGCGAAAUGCGAUAAGUAAUGUGAAUUGCAGAAUUCAGUGAAUCAUCGAAUCUUUGAACGCACCUUGCGCCCCUUGGUUAUUCCUAGGAGCAUGCCUGUUUGAGUAUCAUGAACACCUCAACUCUCAUGGUCUUCCAUGAUGAGCUUGGACUUUGGGGGUUUGCUGGCCUUGUGGCCGGCUCCUCUCAAAUGAAUCAGCUUGCCAGUGUUUGGCGGCGUCACGGGUGUGAUAACUAUCUACGCUCGUGGUCGUCCACCAGGUAACCCUCAGCGAUGAAGGUUCAUUGGGGCUCAUAAACGUCUCUCCCCAGCGAGGACAACUUUUGAACGUUCGAUCUCAA